CCUACGGGCGGCUGCAGUGGGGAAUAUUGGACAAUGGGCGCAAGCCUGAUCCAGCAAUGCCGCGUGUGUGAAGAAGGCCUGCGGGUUGUAAAGCACUUUAAGCAGGAAAGAAGGGCGGAGCGAUAAUACCGUUUCGCAUUGACGUUACCUGCAGAAUAAGCACCGGCUAACUCCGUGCCAGCAGCCGCGGUAAUACGGAGGGUGCGAGCGUUAAGUGGAAUUACUGUGGGCGGAGCGAUCGUAGGCUGUUGAAAGCCCUGGGCUUAACCUGGGAACUGCGGUUGAUACUGUCGGGCUAGAGUGUGGUAGAGGGGAGUGGAAUUUCCGGUGUAGCAGUGAAAUGCGUAGAGAUCGGAAGGAACACCAGUGGCGAAGGCGGCUCCCUGGACCAACACUGACGCUGAGGUGCGAAAGCGUGGGGAGCAAACAGGAUUAGAUACCCGGGUAGUC
rnacentral:rRNA from 1 species